AUGCGGGAGCACGGCAUGGAGCCCGGGCACGGCUUGGCGAGGUCCGUGUCGUCGUGCCUCAUCUCCAAGCUCCCCGACGGGUUCUACGACAGGGUGAGGGAAGGCAGCGUCGUCUUAGCGAGGUCCAAGUCCUUCGGCUUCCGCCACGACGGCCUGGUGCUCGACGACGAGAAGCGCGUCGUGCCGGCCGACGUAGUGAUCUUCGCCACUGGGUUCCGCGGCGACGAGAAGCUGAGGAACAUGUUCGCGUCGCCACGGGUGAAGGACAUCAUCGGGGCGUCGGCGCCGCUGUACCGGGAGUGCGUGCACCCGCGGAUCCCGCAGAUGGCGGUGGUGGGGUACGCCGGGGGGCUGAGCGCCAUAUACGUGUGCGAGAUGGAGGCCAAGUGGGUGGCGCGGCUGCUGGACCGCGCGUUCCGGCUGCCGAGCGUGCGGCGGAUGGAGGAUAGCUGCGCGGAGUGGGGCAGGUACUACGCGCGGGACAGCGGCAGCGGCGGCGGGGAGGGGCAGAGCUUGGGGCCGCGUCUCUGCGCAGUCCACGUGUGGUACAACGACGAGCUUUGCCGGGACAUGGGAUGCGACCCGAGGAGGAAGAAGAUGAAGGGGCAGGGCCUCCUCGCUGAGUGGUUCCUACCGUACAGCAUCGUCGACUACGCCGACAUCCAGUGA
rnacentral:rRNA from 1 species